rnacentral:rRNA from 1 species
GUAGGGAAUAUUGGUCAAUGGACGAAAGUCUGAACCAGCCAUUCCGCGUGCAGGAAGAAGAUUCUAUGGAUUGUAAACUGCUUUUAGCAGAGAAGAAACGCCUUCAUUGAUGAGGGUUUGACGGUAUCUGCGGAAUAAGCACCGGCUAACUCCGUGCCAGCAGCCGCGGUAAUACGGGGGGUGCAAGCGUUAUCCGGAAUCACUGGGUUUAAAGGGUGCGUAGGCGGGAAAUUAAGUCAGUGGUGAAAGUCUGUUGCUUAACGAUAGAAUUGCCGUUGAUACUGAUUUUCUUGAAUUGGGUUGAGGUUAGCGGAAUGUGACAUGUAGCGGUGAAAUGCAUAGAUAUGUCAUGGAACACCAAUUGCGAAGGCAGCUAGCUGGGCCUUGAUUGACGCUGAGGCACGAAAGCGUGGGUAGUGAACAGGAUUAGAAACCCUUGUAGUCC